UUGAGCGCUGGCGGCAUGCCUUACACAUGCAAGUCGAACGGCAGCGCGGGCUUCGGCCUGGCGGCGAGUGGCGAACGGGUGAGUAAUACAUCGGAACGUGCCCUGUUGUGGGGGAUAACUAGUCGAAAGAUUAGCUAAUACCGCAUACGACCUGAGGGUGAAAGCGGGGGACCGUAAGGCCUCGCGCAAUAGGAGCGGCCGAUGUCUGAUUAGCUAGUUGGUGGGGUAAAGG
rnacentral:rRNA from 1 species